rnacentral:lncRNA from 1 species
CUGUGGUGUACUUAGUGGGAUUAAUUUAUCUCCAUCCACAAAUGAUUGCUCUUUCUUUUUAUUUGCUCUAAUCUUGCAUUGUUGUUUGAUUCGAAUGCUCAUUUCCCUUACCUGGAUCACUUAUGUGUCAAGAGGCAAAGUACUUUAUGUUCCAAUAAAUAACUAAUUAUACUUUGGUCUCAGUUUGGGGUUAACUUGUGUCUGUGUUACUCUUUCGUAAGUUGGAUAUUUCCUUAUACCAUUUUUCAUGGCCUAUUUAGCUCAGAGUUUUGGCUGAUAGAUAUUGCUGUAAUAUAGAGAUCCUCAGUUGUAGUGAGAGUGAAGUUACACAUUAAAUAAAAUAAGAAACACUUUAAGAUUUGUGCAACUUUGCCAUGUAAUGGCUCACUUAUAAACACAUGAUCUCAUUUAUCAGGUGUUCACUGGCCAAAUCAAAUGUUUUAGUUCUGGGCACUUGGAAGGACAGUAUAAUUCAGUUUCCCACCCUCAAAAGAUUUUAUUAUGUAAUAAAGGAGAUAAGAAAGUUAGUAAAAUGAAUGUGCUAUAAAGGAUGGUAAAUGAGUCACAAGAAUUCAUAGCAGAGCAAUUUCACUCUGGGUAGUAUCAGGCAGGUGGCUAGGACCAUGCCACAGUUGGAGAGCUUGAGCAUCUUUCCCCAUGGCAGGCCUUUACUCACCAUGGGCUAGAUGCCUUUGUACAGGGCACAACCUGCACACCUGUAUGCUAUAGUCUUGGUUUGGGGAGUGAUUGGAGUGGCACAUAACAUGGCAGAGCUGUUUCCCAAAAGAAAAACAAUCAGAAUGAGUUCAAGAGAGAUGACGUUUCUCAGGCUGUUUGUUACAACCUACAGGAAAGGACGUGUGUGGGAAACACGGCUUUGGAAAGGCAAGUGAAGUAUGAGGGGGCAGAACUAGUGAGUUGGCUAAAGACUAUAUGGCAUAUAAAAUUAUCCAUCUAACAACUCAAUUUUUAAUAAAAUUACCAACUUCCAAACAGUACAAAAAUUACACAGUUUACAAGUGUGAUUGGACUACUUGUGGGGGAAAAAAUCUAAAU